UGAAACACGACUGUCGUGAACGAGUGUUGAACGUGAGGAGGAAGAGGUUCGUGUUCAUCAGCUGCCGAACGAUGGACUUCCUCAGUAACACAUGUGGCCACAGGUCAUGUGACAUCACACGUCCUCAUGCAGACGUUUCCAGUCAAGGACCAACCACUAGGGGGCGUCUCAGUCAGAGCAGUCACGUCCAGUAUACCUCGGAACUCGAACCCAGGAAGUCUGGGUGGUUAUUUUUUUCCGACCUCAGACUCGGAGGUCGUAAUUCCGAGUUCCGAGAUCGUACCUCCGAGGUAUAAUGGAACGCAGAGUGAGUACAGAUCAUGUGACGUGCGGAGCAGUGAGGGAUCAUGGGAGCUGUAGUUGUUAGGAUUCCUUCAGUGUUCCUGGUUCCCGAGGAGUCGAGCUGCCGCUUACGUUCGCUCAGCUCAUUUCUCUGAUCACUUCCAGCGCUUUGGGUUCGUGAAAAGCGCUUUAAAAAUUAAAUAUAUUAAUAUUAUUAUUAUUUCUUCACAUCAAGAAGUCUCACAACUUCAAAGAUAUCGAGUCAAAAACCAGAUGUAACAAUGUGACUUCACACUGGAUCACAAGUCUCUUCAGACAAACUCUCCAGAUUUGAAAAGAUAAAGUUAGAACAGAAGUACAGAUGGAAACAUCUGGAUCACGUGACGGAUCCGUCUCCGCUCCUUGUUCGGUCCAAACGUCUCCAACAUUCACAAACUGUUUACGUGACUCGGUCCAGUCGUUUACUUCUGGUUUAUACAAACUGUCUGAGCUGCUGCGGCUGCAACCGAGCCUCAGGCAGACACCAUCAGGUGACAUCAACACAUGACACCAUCAGGUGACACCAUCAGGCAGACACCAUCACGUGACACCAUCAGGCAGACAUCAUCACGUGACACCAUCAGGUGACACCAUCAGGCAAGACACCAUCAGGCAGACACAUUCAGGUGACACCAUCAGGUGACAUCAUCACGUGACACCAUCAGGUGACACCAUCAGGUGGCAUCAUCAGGUGACACCAUCAUGUGACACCAUCAGGUGACACCAUCACGUGACACCAUAACGUGACAUCAUCACGUGACACCAUCAGGCAGACAUCAUCACGUGACACCAUCAGGCA